AUUGUGAGCAAGAGUUGCAUGGACUCCACACUGGGAUGAAGAGAGGCAUGCUUCUGUGUGUUAGGGUUAGGGUUCGAGUUAAUGCAUGUCUUUGGAAAACAGCAAUAAGCAGAAUAAAAAGGGCCAACAAUGUCAGAGGAAAUCCAAAUGCGAAGUGUUGCUCACAAUGAAGCACCAUGUGGUCAACUUCAGAACCAACAAGCUGAACAUCCUAUAGAAAAACCUUGCAGG